CUCAGGUGGUUUUUCAAAAGUCAUGGCGUGUAAUUGUCAGAACAGUGAACUUCGGAGAUCCACCGGAGGGGCGAGGCCACAGCUCAACCGCGAGCACCUGAGCAUCCUGCACCGCCUGCGACGGCCGUCAGGGGGCGCGAUGCCGCCUCACAGAACCUCGAGAGGCGCCCGGGUUCCGGCACAGAAGCCCGGCGGCUCCAGGGGGCGGAGCCGAGCCGCCUCCUCAGGACCUACGCAGGAGGCGCCGUCAUCCCUACAGGGACACCUGAGAGGACCCAGCCUCCUCCUCCUCAGGACCCACUCGGGAGACGCCGCUGGCUCUAUAGGAACACCUGGGGACCGUGGCCAGGGACCACCCAGCCUCCUUCUCCUCAGCUCCUCAGGAACGACUGGGGAAGCUGUGGCUUCAUGGUCCCCGAGGCUGCCCGAGGAAAGGUAUUUCAGGACAGCCAGGAGGGGGCGCACAUCCGCCGAGAAACUGUGAGCAAGAGCGUCUGUGCUGAACCACGGAGCCACCAGAGGGCGCGCGAUCCCGCCCCAACGAACUUCCCGCGGAGGUGCCAGAAGCAGCGAGGAGCUUCAACUUCCUCAGGGCAGCACGAGGGUCGUGUUAACUUGGUGUUCUUCAUUGAGACGGGGUUUCACCGUGUUAGCCAGGAUGGUCUCGAUCUCCUGACCUCGCGAUCCGCCCGCCUCGGCCUCCCAAAGUGCUGGGAUUACAGGCGUGAGCCACCGCGCCCGGCC